CACGUAGGGUGCGAGCGUUUGUCCGGAAUUAUUGGGCGUAAAGAGCUCGUAGGCGGUGUGUCGCGUCGGCCGUGAAAACCUGCAGCUUAACUGUGGGCUUGCGGUCGAUACGGGCAUCACUGGAGUUCGGCAGGGGGAGACUGGAAUUCCUGGUGUAGCGGUGAAAUGCGCAGAUAUCAGGAGGAACACCGGUGGCGAAGGCGGGGUCUCUGGGGCCGAUACUGACGCUGAGGAGCGAAAGCGUGGGGAGCGAACGG
rnacentral:rRNA from 1 species